rnacentral:rRNA from 1 species
UGGGGAAUUUUGGACAAUGGGCGAAAGCCUGAUCCAGCAAUGCCGCGUGUGUGAAGAGGGCCUUCGGGUUGUAAAGCACUUUUGUCCGGAAAGAAAUCCUUGGCUCUAAUACAGUCGGGGGAUGACGGUACCGGAAGAAUAAGCACCGGCUAACUACGUGCCAGCAGCCGCGGUAAUACGUAGGGUGCAAGCGUUAAUCGGAAUUACUGGGCGUAAAGCGUGCGCAGGCGGUUUGCUAAGACCGAUGUGAAAUCCCCGGGCUCAACCUGGGAACUGCAUUGGUGACUGGCAGGCUAGAGUAUGGCAGAGGGGGGUAGAAUUCCACGUGUAGCAGUGAAAUGCGUAGAGAUGUGGAGGAAUACCGAUGGCGAAGGCAGCCCCCUGGGCCAAUACUGACGCUCAUGCACGAAAGCGUGGGGAGCAAACAGGAUUAGAUACCCUGGUAGUCCACGCCCUAAACGAUGUCAACUAGUUGUUGGGGAUUCAUUUCCUUAGUAACGUAGCUAACGCGUGAAGUUGACCGCCUGGGGAGUACGGCCGCAAGAUUAAAACUCAAAUGAAUUGACGGGGUCAUAGCUGUUUCCU